rnacentral:rRNA from 1 species
UACGUAGGGACCGAGCGUUGUCCGGAUUCAUUGGGCGUAAAGAGCUCGUAGGCGGCCACUCAAGUCGAAUGUGAAACCUCGAGGCUCAACCUCGAGCCUGCAUUCGAUACUGGGCGGCUAGAGUCUGGUAGGGGGAUCUGGAAUUCCUGGUGUAGCGGUGAAAUGCGCAGAUAUCAGGAGGAACACCGGUGGCGAAGGCGGCUACCUGGACAGAUACUGACACUGAGGCGCGAAAGCGUGGGGAGCAAACAGG